GAGCAGCAAGGAAAGAGAAGCACAAAAACCAGCAUCAGAUGCACUCCAGUCUCUUUUGUUAUCUGCAAAUUAUUGGCAGCAAUGCUUUUGUAUGUAACUCUUCAUUUCUCUUUCAGGGAUGGGGAAGAGGAUGAAGGAUUUUCUGCACAAACAUAGAAAUGGGAGGUACGCAAAUGAAGCCGGGUGGCUAAUCUAUGGGCAUUCUUAGAAGGAAGGGAAAAGACUGUUUAAAGCCUCAGAAUCAGUCUCUACAGAUUAACAGAGGAAGAAUAGCUCAAGCUUAGCAUAUCAGCUCAGGAUUUUGAAGACUGAAAUGGGUCAGCACUCAUUUAAAAAUAAAUCACUACUGUUCUUUUUA